AUUGAACGCUGGCGGCAUGCCUUACACAUGCAAGUCGAACGGUAACGGGCCUUCGGGUGCCGACGAGUGGCGAACGGGUGAGUAAUGUAUCGGAACGUACCUUUCAGUGGGGGAUAACGUAGCGAAAGUUACGCUAAUACCGCAUAUUCUGUGAGCAGGAAAGCAGGGGAUCGCAAGACCUUGCGCUGAUUGAGCGGCCGAUAUCAGAUUAGCUAGUUGGUGAGGUAAAGGCGCACCAAGGCGACGAUCUGUAGCGGGUCUGAGAGGAUGAUCCGCCACACUGGAACUGAGACACGGUCCAGACUCCGACGGGAGGCAGCAGUGGGGAAUGUUGGACAAUGGGGGCAACCCUGAUCCAGCCAUGCCGCGUGAGUGAAGAAGGCCUUCGGGUUGUAAAGCUCUUUCGGCCGGGAAGAAAUCGUAUCAGCUAAUACCUGGUGCGGAUGACGGUACCGGCAUAAGAAGCACCGGCUAACUACGUGCCAGCAGCCGCGGUAACAC
rnacentral:rRNA from 1 species